rnacentral:lncRNA from 1 species
GCGUUUAAAGAUAAGAUGAGAUGAGAUGAGAAACAAACAGCCCCUACUCCAUCGAUCUCCCCUCACAUGGAAAGCCUUUGGUCACCGCCGACAAAUUGCCCCACCCCGCUUUCUAUCUCCCUCGCCAUUAAUAUAUGCGAGUUGAUCUCUUUGAAUCUUUCUCAUAUUACGUACUCAUGCAUUUAUUUUCAGCACAGUCUUUACUCCACAUGCAGAUUGCAGUUACGCUUCGAUGAUUGAAUAAAUAAUUGUACACGUUCGAUGUCGUUGAAUUUUUUACAAGACGAUGUGAAAUUAUUCGAGAAAAUAUUUGUUUUGUGGGAUAUAUAUAUUCGGAGAGCAGAUGAUAGUAUAAAGUGGAGCAGUAGUGAUUAUAUAGGUGGAUGAGUCUUUAGAUAGUGAUUUGGAGAGCACAUGAGUCCUGAAGUCGAUGCCUUUUUCGUAAUCUCUAUCAUUCUACAUCUGCUUUUUGCGAUUGGGAAGAUUUUGUUUGAAAACAUGUGAAGAGGGGUGUAUUUGAUUGGGAUUUUAAUGGAUUGUGUCUGAUUUUGAUUUUGUGCGA